AAGAAUCAAUAAUAAGUUUUAAUAACUAGUAUCCAUGUGAGAAAAAAUAAAAUAGAAAAAAGAAAAGGGAAAUAUUUCUUGCUACAUGCCCUAAAUGGAACUAAUUCAGAAAAUCAUUAUAUAAAAAGGGAGGACUGAGAUCAAAUGCCCCAGGGAACUGGAUGGAUUUCCUAUCAUCAUCAAGAGUUGCGGGAAUGGGCAUUUCUUCUUCUACAUCACUUUGGAAGUAGAGCUCAUUUACGUCCUCUAGCUCUAGCUAGAAAAGUUUCAUUUAAGGCUUAGCAUACUUGAGCAUAACCUUUGUGGUCUUCCACAUUCAUCGAAACAUGCAUUCCAAGGAGAACUAUUCAUUCUCCUCAUCAAGUUCUCUAUAGAGAACUGUAUAAACAUGGACAGUGGGAGCUAGAGCUAUGGGCCUAGAAGGGCUCGUACCUUUGGGAGGUAGGUGGGCAUGCUCUAUAUGCCUUCUUAUAGAAACCAUGUUUGCUUCUAGAAUAAUAUUGGAUAUUUAAGGCUAGGAGGAAG
rnacentral:lncRNA from 1 species